ACCUGGCUGGAUCAGUCAGUUAGAGCAUGUGACUCUUAAUCUUGGCGUUGUAAGUUCAAACCCUAUGCUGGGUG
rnacentral:tRNA from 1 species